CUGUGGAGACAGUUAGGAAAAGUGGAGUCCAGUUAGGAAUACAGGAGGUAGGAUUUGCUUUUCUAAAAUAUUUGACAGAUGGUUAUUUUUUUACAAUCAACAUUUGUUUCCUUUUGUAACUGUAAGUCCUCCCAUAGCAUAAAAAUUCAUAGUCUUCAAAAUGUA